ACCAGUUGUAGCUCAGUGGUAGAGCACUUGCCUAGCAUGUGUGAGGCACUGGGUUCAAUUCUCAGCACUGAUA
rnacentral:tRNA from 1 species